AGUCAACAUGCCCAAAGGACGUGGAUAACCUCGGGAAACUGAGGAUAAACCAUGAUAGGCCAAGGUUUCUGGAAUGAGCCAUGGCCGAAAUCUAUAUGGCCUUUGGAUUGGACUGCGGCCGAUCAGGCUGUUGGUGAGGUAAUGGCCCACCAAACCUGUAACCGGUACGGGCUUUGAGAGAAGGAGCCCGGAGAUGGGCACUGAGACAAGGGCCCAGGCCCUAUGGGGCGCAGCAGGCGCGAAACCUCUGCAAUAGGCGAAAGCUUGACAGGGUUACUCUGAGUGAUGCCCGCUAAGGGUAUCUUUUGGCACCUCUAAAAAUGGUGCAGAAUAAGGGGUGGGCAAGUCUGGUGUCAGCCGCCGCGGUAAUACCAGCACCCCGAGUUGUCGGGACGAUUAUUGGGCCUAAAGCAUCCGUAGCCUGUUCUGCAAGUCCUCCGUUAAAUCCACCUGCUCAACGGAUGGGCUGCGGAGGAUACCGCAGAGCUAGGAGGCGGGAGAGGCAAACGGUACUCAGUGGGUAGGGGUAAAAUCCAUUGAUCUACUGAAGACCACCAGUGGCGAAGGCGGUUUGCCAGAACGCGCUCGACGGUGAGGGAUGAAAGCUGGGGGAGCAAACCGGAUUAGAUACCCGGGUAGUCCCAGCUGUAAACGAUGCAGACUCGGUGAUGGGUUGGCUUCGAGCCAACCCAGUGCCGCAGGGAAACCGUUAAGUCUGCCGCCUGGGGAGUACGGUCGCAAGACUGAAACUUAA
rnacentral:rRNA from 1 species